CCCUAGCCCCGAUUGCAACGGAAAUCCUUUUUUGAAAAAAAAAGAUUGUAGUGGAAAGCGGGAAACAGC
rnacentral:sRNA from 1 species